AGGAUGAACGCUGGCGGCGUGCCUAAUACAUGCAAGUCGAGCGGUAAGGCCACUUCGGUGGUACACGAGCGGCGGACGGCUGAGUAACACGUAGGAACGUACCCCAAACUGAGGCAUAAGCACCAGAAAUGGUGUCUAAUACCGCAUGUGCUCUUCGGAGUAAAGCUACGGCGGUUUGGGAACGGCCUGCGCAUGAUUAGCUUGUUGGUGAGGUAAUAGCUCACCAAGGCGACGAUCAUUAGCUGGUCUGAGAGGAUGACCAGCCAGACUGGGACUGAGAACGGCCCAGACUCCUACGGGAGGCAGCAGUAGGGAAUUUUCCACAAUGGGCGAAAGCCUGAUGGAGCAACGCCGCGUGCAGGAUGAAGGCCUUCGGGUCGUAACUGCUUUAUCUGUGAAGAUUAUGACGGUAGCAGAUGAAGUAAGGAUCGGCUAACGUCCGUGCCAGCAGCCGCGGU
rnacentral:rRNA from 1 species